rnacentral:rRNA from 1 species
UACGUAGGGUGCGAGCGUUAAUCGGAAUUACUGGGCGUAAAGCGUGCGCAGGCGGUUCGUUGUGUCGGCGGUGAAAGCCCCGGGCUCAACCUGGGAAUGGCCGUUGAAACUGGCGAACUGGAGUGUGGCAGAGGGGGGUGGAAUUCCGCGUGGUAGCAGUGAAAUGCGUAGAUAUUGGGAGGAACACCAGUGGCGAAGGCGGCUCACUGGACCGGUACUGACGCUGAGGCGCGAAAGCGUGGGGAGCAAACGGG